CUCUGUGAGGAAAUAGCAGAGCUCAUCACACUGUUGGCACUUGCUUUCCUAUAAAAGCUAUACUUGCCUCCUGCCUCCCUCCCAAGCACAGCACAUGUUCCAGUAGUACUACAGAGGAGGACCUAGGAGGGGGCUGGGAAGAGUGGGAGGAGGAGCAAGAGGAGGAGUUGUUCUUUAGUUAAAAGAGCCCCUUUGCUGGGCUGUGGCCUCUCCAUGCCACCUGGGAUGGGAACUGCUCUACACACACCCCAUGAAUUAUUUAACAGCCACCUGCUUCUGAGCAUUGUUCAACCUGGAGGGAUCCUAGAACUAGGAGGUGAGCCCAAGGAUCUGGAGGAGGGAGUGGGUCUGGGAGGUGAAGGGAAAGUCUCUGGGUGGAGGGAAGCAACAGCCCUAGACUGGGACAAGCUCUGGCCAGUGGCUGCCACUGGCCUGUAGUGUGAUCUCAGGAAGGCAGGUCUCCCUUUCUGAGUCUGUGUGCUAAAGUGCACAUGGUUCUGUCAGGUGCUGGCAGGCACUGUGCUCAGGAGGAACUGGGAACAGACUUGUCCUUGGUGUAGCUUUCUGUCAAAUGCUCCCUAAAUAUAAAGGCUUGGCUUUGGGAAUCAAGCCAGGCUGGGAGCUGAUGUGCUAAGGAUCCAGUUAUAAAGCAGCCCCUUCCUUGUAUUGUCUGUGCUCCCUCCUUAGUGUUCCACCCCAGCAGACUGUGGAGUAAAAUUUCUCCAGAAAUCACUGAAUGCUCUCAGAGAGAUUCUCUUGUUUGCCAUGAACCCUCAGGUCGCUGGCCCCUGAGUUACUGAUGUGCCUGAAUGAAUCUGUAGCAGUCUCCAGCUGUCUUUGGUGGGUUGUCAGGGGAUGGGGAAUGCCUCAGUUCCUUUUGUACUGUAGAUGGCACCACUGUGAUGCUUUUCUUGUCUGUGUGUGGUGGGCUGUAGGCUGUUCGAUUGUUGGCAAAGCCAGAGACCCCUCCCUACCGAUCCCAAAGGGGUUCUAGUGCACAUGUGUCUUCUUCAGUGCGUAAACUAAAAAGAGCAGAGGUGGGCAUACAUGAGGGGAGCAUCUGGGAACUGCUGCUUGCUCAAAACUUUGACUUUCACCUCAUCAGAACUUCAAGACUUUCUCCUAUCUCAUACUUUCAUCUCAGACACACACUAUGACACGAUCUCCCUGGUACAAACCCCCCCGAAUCCUAAGCAGGGGGAAAAGUUCAGCUACUGCUUAGAUUUUGGUAAAAUAGACGUUCCACAUGUCUGUAAGGUGAGUGGGACCUACAAAGGGUCCUGUCUGUGUCUUGUGUAGCCCUUGGUGUCUGUCACCCUGCUUCUAGACCAGGCUUUGUUGAUGAAGUACUUGCAUAUCUGUGAGCUAAGUCACCAGUUUUUUUUUUUCUAAGCCUCAGUCCUUUGGUUUUCCCAUCAUAGAGGUUGAAAGGGAGGAAUGGAUUUUCAGAGACUUUCCAGUUCCAGGUGAUUGUGCCUUAGAGGGGAAUGAGCUUUAGAAUGAGUGGGUGGGUUCAGUUUGAUGGGUAAACAAUGUUUAAAUAAAGGGGCGUAUCACCUGUGUUCCCUGGGUCACAGGGGCUUCACAGUAGUUAAUCACUGUGUGUGUGUGUGUGUGUGUGUGUGUGUGUGUGUGUGUGUGUCUGUGUGUCUGUGAAUGAACACACUGGAAUGAACAGACAAUGUCCACUGCAGAGAUGUAGAGACUGCAGAGUUUCCAGCCUGAAAACUGUGGAGGCAGAGGCAUCAGGGACAGAAGAAUUCCAGGUAGACUUUUUAUAUACAGAUGAAAGAAUUGAAGAAUCCAGAAUCUAGGAAGCAACGAAGCAGCAAAUUACCAAGUAGAACCAGGACUUGCAGUAAGGACAUAAAGUAUAAGGUGGAGGGGCUAGCCAAAAUGUGCAUUGGUCUAGAGCUCCAUGAAGUCUAGAAUGUUUAUGUUAUGUGAUUCAGUAUUUGUUCCUAGUUGGUAAACCUGUUUCAGAAGGAUAAGGCACUGCUUCUUGGGGAAGAGCGUGUUCCUAAGGUUGGUUUUAUAGUUUUCAAAAGCCCAAGUGAUUCCCAAUCUGUCUCCACUUGUCCUAGAGACUCUCAGCUGUUCCUCUCACUCUGCCUUUGCUGUACCACAGUGGAUUUGUUCUGUAAGCAUGAGUCUGAAUUAUACGUUAUGUUUUAUAAAUUUGUUGCCUUGGUCAUGAAGUCUUAUUGGAGCAAAAGAAAGGAAGAUGCAGAACUUAGAAUCUCUUAUCCUACGAUGAAGGAGGCUGGGAAAUAAUUCCAGUUGGUCCAACAGCCACUCUGCUGGUCCUGUGGACAGUGAUGGAGGCUGGUAUCUACAAGCUAGGAAUAUGUAAACAGCUACAUUUUGGGCAACUUGAGUAGCAGGACUCUGGCCAGUUAAGGCUGACUAUCUGGCCAGGGCCCUGUAACCCUGGCUUCUGGGCAUGAAUUCAGGCAGGGAGAUGCUGCCAUGUGAUGCUUGCUUCUAAUCUUUCCUCUCACUGUACUGGAAGCUGUGACCUCUAUCUUGUCACUGGGGAGAGCCUUUAGGGAGUUGCCUAGAGCACCUCUGCUCACUUUCUAUGCCAGGUCCCUGUGAGAACUUCUGCCUUACCUGGGCUUAUCCUUCUUUCUCUCAGGACCCAGUGGAUACUGUUGGGGUUGUCAUUGUAGUACAUCUACCCAAUGGAGUACUAUUCAGCUAUCAAAAACAAUGACUUCAUGAAAUUCAUAGGACAAUGGAAUGAACUAGAAAAUAUCAUCCUGAGUGAGGUAACUCAGACACAGAAAAACACACUUGGUAGGUAAUCACUGAUAAGUGGAUAUUAGCCAAGAAGCUCGAAUUACACAAGAUGCAAUCCACAGACCACAGGAAGCUCAAGAACAAGGAUGACCAAAAUGCAGAUGCUCCCACUCCUUCUUAAAAGGGGGAAAAUAUCCAUAGGAAGGGAUAUGGAAGCAAAGUUUAGAGCAGCGACUCAAGGAAUGGCCAUUCAGAGCAUGGCCCACAUGCGGCCCAUAUGUAGACAGUCACCAAAAGUAGGUAAGAUUGAUGAAGCUAAAAAAUGCAUGCAGAAAGGGACCGGAUAUAGAUCUCUCCUGAGAGAUACAUCCAGAGCAUGUCCAAUACAGAGGUCAAUGCUAGCAGCAAACCACCGAAGUGAGAAUUCCCUUGGGGGAAUUAGAGGAAGGAUUGAAAGAGCUGAAGGAGCUUGCAACCCCAUAAGAACAACAAUCCCAACCAACCAGAGCUUCCAGGGACUAAACCACUACCAAAAGACUAUACAUGGACUGACCCAAGGCUCCAACUGCAUAGGUAGCAGAGAAUAGCCUAGUAAGAGACAUCUACCAGGAGGCUUAGCCAAAUCUUUUUGACAAAGGUGUGUCAUAAUAUCCUCUCUACAGAGUAGGACAUGAAUGAGAAGAGGCAUUAAGUGUUGAUUGUACUGUAUAAGCUCAGAAAAGAAAUGCCACUGCCCUUGGCAUGGAAGGUUUCUGAGUACACUGGGUUCCCUAUUUAUACUGACAAUAUGGAUACCCCUAGAGCCACUAAAGGUUGUGUACAGAUAAGCUGAAAUGUAUCACUAUAAACAACAUGUUUUUAGGAUGCUCUUUUGGAGAAUUAAAUUGAAAAAAUAAAACAAGUUGAGGAAACAGUGGUAUAAACCAAAUCCUCUUUGGUUUGAUACAUAGGAAAGAGUUAAGCAUUUAAAAACUGGACUUUGCAUUUUAGCAAUUAUUAGACAAUGAGGAAGCUCCCUGGUGAAUGUAAUGCCUGGGGCACUGAGAAGCAGAACUGGAAGAGAAGGGUUAAUCAUCAACAUUCUUUCUCCUUCCUCCUCCUCCUCCUCCUCCUCUUCUUCCUCCUGUCACCCUCUCUCUGUCUCUCUCUCCCCCCCACCCCCUGCAUCCUGUUCUCUCUCCUUUCUCAAUCAGUCCUGCUCUCCUCUCCUCUUCUUUGUCUGAAGAAAUAGCAGAGCUCAUCACACUGUUGGCACUUGCUUUCCUAUAAAAGCCAUACUUGCCUCCUGCCUCCCUCCCAAGCACAGCACAUGUUCCAGUAGUACUACAGAGGAGGACCUAGGAGGGGGCUGGGAAGAGUGGGAGGAGGAGCAAGAGGAGGAGUUGUUCUUUAGAUGAAAGAGCCCCUUUGCUGGGCUGUGGCCUCUCCAUGCCACCUGGGAUGGGAACUGCUCUACACACACCCCAUGAAUUAUUUAACAGCCACCUGCUUCUGAGCAUUGUUCAACCUGGAGGGAUCCUAGAACUAGGAGAUCCGGCUAAAAGAAAGCAAGUCUACAGGAGUGCUGACACACAGGCCUACAGAAGAGUCAAGCCGCUGUCAGAGACAGUAAGACAAGAGAACACCAGAGACAUCCUGAUGGCGAGGCAAGUACAUGAACCUAAGCAACAGAAACCAAUACUCCUUGGCAUCACCAGAGCCCAGUUCUCCCAGCAAAGCAAAUACUGGAUAUCCAAAUACACCGAAAAA